rnacentral:rRNA from 1 species
GAUGAACGCUGGCGGCGUGCCUAAUACAUGCAAGUCGAGCGAACGGACGAGAAGCUUGCUUUUCUGAUGUUAGCGGCGGACGGGUGAGUAACACGUGGAUAACCUACCUAUAAGACUGGGAUAACUUCGGGAAGCCGGGGCUAAUACCGGAUAAUAUUUUGAACCGCAUGGUUCAAAAGUGAAAGACGGUCUUGCUGUCACUUAUAGAUGGAUCCGCGCUGCAUUAGCUAGUUGGUAAGGUAACGGCUUACCAAGGCAACGAUGCAUAGCCGACCUGAGAGGGUGAUCGGCCACACUGGAACUGAGACACGGUCCAGACUCCUACGGGAGGCAGCAGUAGGGAAUCUUCCGCAAUGGGCGAAAGCCUGACGGAGCAACGCCGCGUGAGUGAUGAAGGUCUUCGGAUCGUAAAACUCUGUUAUUAGGGAAGAACAUAUGUGUAAGUAACUGUGCACAUCUUGACGGUACCUAAUCAGAAAGCCACGGCUAACUACGUG